rnacentral:misc_RNA from 1 species
AUGAUUGCGAAUGGUUGCCUUCAGUGCUGGCUCUUAAGAGCAAGUGCACGUUGGUGGCUUUCAUCCAAUACACACUCUUGUGAACCUUUGGCCUCUUGCUAGCUUUGGCUGGUAGAGGAUUUUUACAUAUACUCGCAUGUAAUGAAAACUAUUGUUGUGCGCAAGCACUAAUAUA